rnacentral:rRNA from 1 species
CAAGGAAUUUUCCGCAAUGGGCGAAAGCCUGACGGAGCAACGCCGCGUGCAGGAUGACGCAUUUCGGUGUGUAAACUGCUGUUCGGGGGGACGAAGCACUGACGGUACCCCCGGAGGAAGGCCCGGCUAACUACGUGCCAGCAGCCGCGGUAAUACGUAGGGGCCAAGCGUUGUCCGGAGUUACUGGGCGUAAAGCGUGCGCAGGCGGCUCGUUGCGCCCGACGUGAAAGCCCCCGGCUCAACCGGGGAGGGUCGUCGGGACGGGCGAGCUUGAGGGUGUCAGGGGCUGGUGGAACUCCCGGUGUAGUGGUGAAAUGCGUAGAGAUCGGGAAGAACACCCGUGGCGAAGGCGGCCAGCUGGGACACACCUGACGCUGAGGCACGAAGGCGUGGGGAGCGAACGGG